CCACACUUGAUAGCUAUCGGGCUGUAGGUGCAAUCUGUACAUAAAUUAGGAGAAGGAGGCUUUUAUUUGAAUUGUACGCCAAAACCAUUUAAACACAGAGGACUUCUCUACGGCUAGAAUAACCUGGCAAGGAUUUGGAGUAUUGACCCUUUCUGUAAAAUGUUUAAGUUACUAUUAAAAAGAAGUCAAAGAUGGAACAAAAAAUUCCUUUUUCUCAACCAUUGUCACCAGCAAGAUCAGUUCCAUAUAAAUGAACUCUUUGAGUUGAUACCCAAGAGAAAUCUCUUGAAUUUUCAUCGGAUGUUAAACAAAUUUCCGCCAGGGAAUCAUCUAAAAUAUUACAAUCAUCAUUAGCGCUAAUUAUGCUACUACCACUACAAAUAGAAUCAUUAACAUCCGCCGAUGCC